AGUCCCACUUUUAUUGGAAAGAGCACAUUGUGUUGGUGUUCAUGCUUUGUGAAAUGUGGUUGUAGUUUUUGCAAAAUGGGGGCACUCAGUCCACAAUCAAAUGGAGUUCAGAAGAGGUCUACACCAGGGAGAACAGUGAAGGGCAAAACUAGAAUGAAAUCUGUCUAAAGAGUGCUGGACACCCCAAGCUUUUCUGUAACACCAACCACAACCCAAGCAGUGGAGCACACAGUAGGGAAAUCAGAUCAGAUCAUGAGAAUACCACCUGAAGGAGUGGGAGUUUCUGCUUCUUGCCACUUCAUAUAAUUUUAUUUCUGGACAGCUGCCCAUAUCCCUUGUGGAACCACACUGUUCAUCUACAUAUUCUGCAGUGAAGAAAAGUGAAGUUGGACUAGACUGUCAAAUUUGAUUUUGUAAAUCUGAAAUGCACGAUAUAUUUUAAAUAGCAAUUCAUUCUUAGGGACAGUCACAAGCAGAACACUGUCUUGUGGGUGUGAUAAAUGUGUAAUGCACCUUUUAGGGGGCUUGUAAUGUAACAGUGCUGUUCCCUUGUAUACUCUGUAGGCAUGGUUUGGAGUUAAUCCCCCAGCUCACUAAGCAGGGGGCUGAGGGUGAAGACUGCUUCUGUGUCUCCUUAUGUGCAAGUUAGUUGUGUAUUGCUUAAGCUAGUGUCAGCGUUGUUGAUCUUAAGCUAGUGAAUGUUGUUUCACCAGCCAUCUUAGCCCUAUUCAGACAUUAUGUUGUACAGGUGUAUUCAUCUCAUGUGUUCACUUUAAAAGUAAACCUGGGUACAGGUUCUCUAAAAUGCAGGGUACAGAGAGGAAGUGGACUGCUGCACAUGCUUUGAAUGUGUAUGAAUGAAUAUCACACAUAUGAAUAACUGUGUGUAUUGAUCUGUAUGUCUGCACUGCAGACAGAAGCCCUAUUCAGACAUUUUGUUGUAAGUGCAUUCAGGUGUCUGUACACAUGUACAUGUUUUUGUCUUAAUGACUGCACAUUCAUUCAUUUAGGAAGUGAACCUGGGUACAGACACAGAGGUAUACUGCUGUACAUGUAUUCAACAUAAUGUGUGAAUACUCUGACUCUAUGUGUGUAUAGAUCUGUACAUGUGUACACUGUACAUAGAUUGCACACAUGUUGAAGACAAUGUGAAUAGGGCUAGAAUGUAUGUGUGUUAAACAUAGUGUGUUGAUAGGGCUCUUGUCUCUGCUGAUGUUGACUUGGAGAGCAGAACCUACAAGGGCAUGCAAAUGCUGAAUGAGUACACAUACCUGGAACCCACAAGAAAGAAGCUAAUGUUAUUGUGGGUGUGUUGGAGGAACAGGACUCUUCUUUGGAUAUAUUAUAGGGCGGUAUUCCAAAUUUGGGUAUAUUAAAGGGCAGUGUUCCAAAAUCUCUUUGCAACAAAGUAAUUCAAAUCAAGGAAACAAUUUAUCCCACUGUAAAGCUUAUCCCUGUAGUAACUUAGCCUUCCUGUGCUAACACAGGUAUGGCUAGCCUUCCUGUGUGGUUAGCCUUCCUGUGCUCCUGCCAACACACUGGAAUUUUCAUUGAUAUAUUUUUGUUGGAGAUGGAGUUUCAGUGCAUCAACCUUUUGCACCAACUAUCCUAAUGACCACUAAGGACAUUAGGAGUAGAGGUAGUUAGUGAGGAUCUCCUUAUCUGUCCCUACUUGCCUCUAUGACCCCUGCCUUGACUCCUCAGGUACUUCCUGUAGUGAGUCAGUCCUCUUCCUUUCCUCCUAGAGAGAAAAUGGAAACACCUCCCCCCCCCAUUCAUUAUAGUAGCUGAUAAAUAGGAUAGGUCUUUCCUAUCUCAAAUGUACUUCACCAAUAAAUCAAUUUAGUUUAGACUCUACAAUGAUCUCCAUGUGUGUUACUCUAAAUAGCUGCAACAACUAAACUCUGCACUCUGUAACUGGAGUGGUAGCUUCCUUGGUGCUUUGCUAAAGAAUCAAACACCCCAACAAUUUCCCCAUGGAAUUGGAGAUACGAAGAACCAUUCCAGUAAGCCACACAUACCUUCACAAUUCCUAGGA